UACGGGGGGGGCAAGCGUUGUUCGGAAUUACUGGGCGUAAAGGGCUCGUAGGUGGCCAACUAAGUCAGACGUGAAAUCCCUCGGCUUAACCGGGGAACUGCGUCUGAUACUGGAUGGCUUGAGUUUGGGAGAGGGACGCGGAAUUCCAGGUGUAGCGGUGAAAUGCGUAGAUAUCUGGAGGAACACCGGUGGCGAAGGCGGCGUCCUGGACCAACACUGACACUGAGGAGCGGAAGCCAGGGGAGCAAACGGG
rnacentral:rRNA from 1 species